CAGAAGACAGCGUAGCGGUCGGAUACCACUUUGGAAGCCGGGUCCUGAGCGCACACCCCGACGAUGAGGACGAGGAAAAACAGCAUUUCCACCUGCGGCAUAUUUGCAAUGAAGCCAAACCGACGACAGUCCUGCGUGCACGUUUAUAUUUGAAUGACGGUGGUCUCACUUACAAGAACAACAUCCCUUCUACGCGGGGGUGCAUCUCAGAUUCCCUGACGGAUCAUCUCGUAAACCUGGAGCCUCUUUUGACAGCCUGAUCCUCUUUGCACAACAAGAAGGUGCAUCUUUUAAAAGGUUCAACAAUCCCCCCCAAAAGAACUUUUUUUAUACAGUAUGUGCAAUUUUGUUUUCAAUCCCGAGCGACUAAACCAAGCACUUCAGAAAAUGUUCAUAUAUUUAUUGUUUAUCCCAUUGAGGGUUUAUCUUUUUCGCUUCGCUGCAUGCAACAUAUAGCUUUCAUAUGGAUGAAAUUUGACUGCAGCGCAUUUAUUUUGCUCCGCGACUCACUGCGCCACGCAGUGGUGACCAUGGAAACAGCAUCACGUACAAGAAUCCACAAGUUGCCCUGUGCAUAAAUUCACUUUCCCCACUGGAAUGGAUUCUCAGAUUUCAGUCAACCUUUGCUGAAUGUAAUGAUAAAUGAUGUUUUGUAAAAUACAUUAAAUUGUGAAAUACAACAAAUUUUGUUGAAUUGAUAUUUACUGACAAAAUGCCCAAUUUAAUUGAAGUCUAAACUGUGUGUAAAAAAUGGAUGGAUUCCAAUUGAUGGUUAAUAUAAUCCUCAACAGUGCCACUGACAGCUGCUUGUCAAAGGAGCCAACUUCUCUCCCAAAGAGAUUAUUCAUUCAACGUAAUAUUGGUAAUAAAUCACAUAUCCAUCUA